CAGCCGCCGCGGUAAUACGAAGGGUGCAAGCGUUACUCGGAAUUACUGGGCGUAAAGCGUGCGUAGGUGGUGGUUUAAGUCCGUUGUGAAAGCCCCGGGCUCAACCUGGGAAUUGCAGUGGAUACUGGGUCACUAGAGUGUGGUAGAGGAUAGUGGAAUUUCCGGUGUAGCAGUGAAAUGCGUAGAGAUCGGAAGGAACAUCCGUGGCGAAGGCGACUAUCUGGGCCAACACUGACACUGAGGCACGAAAGCGUGGGGAGCAAACAGGAUUAGAUACCCGCGUAGUCCCUGUCUCUUAUAC
rnacentral:rRNA from 1 species